GUGAGUCUGCAGAUUCUCCACUCCGGUAAGAUUUGAGCACCCAUUUCCUCGUAAAAUCGAAUCGCAUUAGCAUUCCAGUCAAGUACCACCCACUCCACUCGACCAUAAUUCAUUUUCACGGCCUGUUUGGCCACCGCCGACAGCAAAAGUUUCCCAAACCCCUUCCUCCUAUAACACUCUCUCACGAAUAUAUCCUCCACAUAUAAACCAGGUUUCCCUAAGAAGGUUGAGAAGUUAGGGAAAAACAGAACAAAUCCAGCAACUACGACAUUUUCAUCUUCCGAUUUGAAAAUCUCCCGUUCUGGAUCGUCCACAGGGAGGUCAGAAUUGAUGAUCCGAGCGACGGGG
rnacentral:lncRNA from 1 species